UACAGAGGGUGCGAGCGUUGUCCGGAAUCACUGGGCGUAAAGGGCGCGUAGGCGGUCUGCUAAGCGUGUGGUGAAAGCUCGGGGCUCAACCCCGAGUCGGCCGUGCGAACUGGUGGACUGGAGCAUGUCAGAGGCAGGCGGAAUUCCGGGUGUAGCGGUGGAAUGCGUAGAGAUCCGGAAGAACACCGGAGGCGAAGGCGGCUUGCUGGACCUGGUCUGACGCUGAGGCGCGAAAGCGUGGGGAGCGAACAGG
rnacentral:rRNA from 1 species